GACGUAGGGCGCGAGCGUUGUCCGGAUUUAUUGGGCGUAAAGAGCUCGUAGGCGGCUUGUCGCGUCGGAUGUGAAAGCCCGGGGCUUAACGUCCGGGUCUGCAUUCGAUACGGGCAGGCUAGAGUUCGGUAGGGGAGAUCGGAAUUCCUGGUGUAGCGGUGAAAUGCGCAGAUAUCAGGAGGAACACCGGUGGCGAAGGCGGAUCUCUGGGCCGAGAUUGACGCUGAGGCGCGAAAGCCAGGGGAGCAAACGGG
rnacentral:rRNA from 1 species